GUGAUUUGAGAGGAAGAUUAUCAGUGAAUAAAGGCUUAAAUUUCGUCUUGACUUCUUGUAUGUAUUGUCAUGUAAAGGCAGUGCCAUUCAAUCCAGCUCUUGUAAAGCCGAUAUGAGGGUCUGGAACAGGUCUGUGCUUGAUAAACUCCCUCACUGGAUGUUUGAUGUUACGGUAGAAAUGCAGAACUGUCGCGACACGUAACAUAUAGAUCUUAUAUAUGCUGAAAACACCGCCGCGGGAGAUUUACUGCCGGAUUCCAGCGAGGCGAUGGAGACGGUGAGUGUGAUUUAUGGUCACCUGUGCGCUUGAGGAGAGCUCGAGUUACGCUUCAGGCACAAACGAGAGUCAGGAUCUGACAGCCGCUGAUGCUCCUGACGCUGACAGGAACAGAUCUGUGGGAUGGUGUCUGAUUGUGAGAUCUCUGUUGCAGCUGCAGACGCCGAAGAACCUGCACCUGAAGAAACAGCACCUGAAGAACCUGCACCUGAAGAAACAGCACCUGAAGAACCUGCACCUGAAGAAACAGCACCUGAAGAACCUGCACCUGAAGAAACAGCACCUGAAGAACCUGCACCUGAAGAAACAGCACCUGAAGAACCUGCACCUGAAGAAACAGCACCUGAAGAACCUGCACCUGAAGAAACAGCACCUGAAGAACCUGCACCUGAAGAAACAGCACCUGAAGAACCUGCACCUGAAGAAGCAUCACCUGAAGAGCCAGCGGAGGAGGCAGAAGCUCCUGCAGAGUCUGAAGACACAAACCCUGAGACAGCAUCCGCUGAAGAGGAACCUGCUGGAGAAGAAGCUGGAGCAGAAGCUGGAGCAGAAGCAGGAGCAGAAGCAAAUAAAAAAAUCCUAA
rnacentral:lncRNA from 1 species